rnacentral:lncRNA from 1 species
ACAGGACUCUCCCUUAAGUUGUUCUACUUUUCCUUUUUCUCUUUAUAUUUUUCUUUUUCAUUUUUCUCAAACAAAGGCAGCCGAUCUAGGUGUUUUGCUCUUUGAAUCUCCAACAAUCCAUCAUCACUUUAGGUAUUGUACUCUUUGGAUCUCUCCUUUUAGGGAUUUUACUCAAAAAUUACUAUUUGUGUUUAUCGGUCAUUGUGCUUUAGAGAUCAAGAAUUUUUUUCACAGUGGGCAACGACAAAGAAUAGAUGUUUAAAGCUUGGUUUUAAAUUUAAUCCUGUUGCUGUGUUGUUCUCGCUGGUGGUGUUGCCUGACUGAUGCUUUGAUAUACAGCAACUGUGUUGUAGUUCCUUGUUUGCUGGUUUGGUCAUCGUUAUAUUUACACGACCAAAACACACCAUACACUUACAAAUUUUGUUAAAUGCAUUUCCUUGUAUGCUGACAAAGAAUUUUUGUUUUGUUUGUGUGUGGAUCUUGGGGAUGUGAAUGAGCUGGCCAAGAGAAACAAUUAAACGAAGGGAGUGUGUGUGAGAGAGAAAGAGAGAGAGGCUUUGGCUUUGGAUUUCGGGGUCGGGGUCGGGGUAGGGGUAGGGGCGUUCUGGUUCAUGGGAAAAUCCCUCUCGUGGCUUUGGAUGAAGGCAUCUCAUAGUACAGUUAACAUAGCAGGGUUCAUGAAUCAUGCGUCAAACAGUAAUGAUGGCAGAGACACAUGCAUAUUAAGUUUUUUUUUUUUAUUUCGGAUGGGAUGGUAAUAAGAUAAUAACUGAGGUGAUGAUGGCCCACCUUACUUUAAUUUCUUUUUCGUGUCGGGAUUCAUUUCAUCAGAUUUGACGCUUUGUUUUUAUUGUUUGUUUGUAUGAUAUACACUAUAUAAAAUUUAUUUUUUAUAUGAAAAUUUUUGAAUUAUCUCUAGGCUACUCCAAAUAAAAUUUUCUGUCCAAGGUCUUAUAAGGGUGAAAGUGAAACCUCAUUUGGACACAAAGGGACCUAGUCCUCAUAAUUUUGGAGUAUUUUAUCAUGGUUUUAAAAUUUUUAAUUUACAUCUCCUCAAAAUUUUUAUAAAUUCUAACCAUAGUUUUUUAAAAAAUUAUUUGAACACUCUCAUUUAGAUCUAGUCAUGGUCAGGCCAUCACUUGCACAGGUAUGAAGGUCUGUCUGAAAAGUAGGAAGGUUUAAAACAAAUAUAUGCUUAAAAAAUGAGAUUAGAAAAAAAAGUUUGUUUUCUAAACAGACUGAGCCUCGGGUAAGAUUUUUGCCUAGAGCUGGCUCGAAUUUGUUUAAAAAAAUUUUCAAUGUUAUUUUGCUACUAUUGCUACCACUUUUGUGUUGUUUUGUUGUCAUUUUACUAUUAUAUUGUUACUAUUUUAUUGUUAUUAUUUGAUUAUUAUAUACCACUUGUUUUAUUAUUAAUUUUGCUACUACUUUAGUGGUAUUUGUUUGCUAAAUUGCACUAUCUUAAUCUUAUUUAAGUAUUAAGAUUGUUUUAAUGUAUUUUCAAUUUGUUGGGAAAUAUUUAUUUUAAUGUUUUGAGUGCAUUUGAUAUAUUAUAUUUUUAAAUUUUUUUAUAUAAAAAAAUUAAUAUGAGUUGGGUUGCGCUCAAGUUUAACAUUUUUUAUCUAAUUCAGAUUUGGACAAAAUUUUAAACCUAUUAUUCUAAUUGAAUCAAAACCUAAAAUUCUAUAUUGACCAAACUCGGCUGAUAAUCAAGUCUACUCCCAUUAAUCUUUGAAAAAUUUUAAUUAAAUCCUCAGUUUUUUAAAAUUUAAAACGUUGAUAUAUCUUCUUGAAUUCCAAUGUCGCAGAUGCUUGCUUGAUAGGUUGUAGCUUUUGUGGGGGCUGAUCUCCGUUCUGCACACUUGCAGGUUAUCAUUAAAUUGAAUAAAAUGAACAUUUACUGCAAAACCUUAGCUUACAAUUCACAUACAAAGUAUCACUUUGAUUACACAUAUGAUUAUUUUAAACUUUUUUAAUUUUUAAAUUUGCAGUAUGUCAAGUGAUCGUCUGUGCAUGUAAAUUGGAUUUGAUGAGAAAGGAUACCUUCGUAGUGAGUUUAAAAAAGGAGUUGAAUACGUAGAUUUUGAAUUUUAAAACGUUAAUGUGUUGGUCAAAAUAAGAUUUAAGCGUGAAUUUGAAGGGCAGUGCGAGAUGCAUUUAAUUUAUUUUUCAUCUUACGCUAUAAAAUCGUUAUAAUAUUUAAUUUCAUCAUUAUUAAUAUUUUUAUGCUAAUUGCAAGUAAAUUACCAUGAGGUGAAAAUUUAGCAAAUGUGAUAAUAGAAAGUUUAAACUCGAGAUGAUGUGAUUUAUCAAAAGGUUAUUGAUGUUACGUAUUUUGAAUUUAAUUAGAGUGCAGAACAGCCUUGUAAUGUUUCAAAGUUUUAGUUUUCAAUAUACCAUUGGAACGAGUUAGAUUCGGUUAAAAUUUUUAAAUAAAUUAUUUCAGGUAAUUUGGAACUCGUCUGAUAUUCGAGCCAAAGAGGAAUAGGUAAUUUUAAGUUUUGGAAAAUUUUCAAAUUUGUUUUCAUUAUUUUUGAGUUAUGGUUUAAUUGUUUUUAUUAAUGUAUAAUUAUUUUUGUUGAAUAUUGAUACACAAUCCGGUUAGUUAUGCAUUAAGUGUGUUAAGGACAGGUUAUCUCUGUAGACAAUUUUAGUAAUCAAAAAUUCUGAUAGUAGAACCUCCCUGUAGGAAAUACGAAAACAAGAGGAUGUUUCCUUUCCUUAGGAGAACCAAUACUUUUGCAAGCUUCAACUCCAACUAAUCUCAAGAGUCUAACCAAACCUCAAAUAGUAUUGUUAAUGAACAAGAACAUUAUGAAAAUAUUCCCCAAAAAUUUGAUAAUUGUACUCUUCAAAAGUUUCAACAAAUUAAAUUUAUAAGAAAAUAAUUUUUGAAACUUUAAAGGCAUUUUAUAGAUAUAUUAUAAAAACAAAAGAAAAAAAUUUACCUAUCGAAAAAGAACAUGAAACUAUCCAAUUAUUAGAUAGAUUCGUCAUUAAUAAGCAUCAUAUUGUCAAACAAUUUAUUUGGCUUCUUUAGGACAGUCUAGAACUAUAUAUGAAGGUUCUGUCGGGAACUAAUAAAGAAAAGGAAAAUAAUAAAUUUAAGCAAUAUUUAGUACUUAGAAGAAAAAUGAAGAAAUAAAAUUAACAGAAACAAUAGAUAUAGAGAAGGAUCUAGAAAACUUUAAGUCAGCUAGUCAUAAACAUUUUAGCGGGCAAAUUACAUAUAAAAUCCCAUUUUAAUAAAAAUUUAUCGAAAUGGGCCUAGUAAAUAAUUAUUUACCGAAAUGACCCUAUUUCCCCUAAAGUGCGUCCACGUCAGCAUGAUGUCAGGGGACGUAGCAGGAAAACGUGUCCCUGAGGAAGCGUUUUACCUACAUGGACAGAAAUCGCUCCCUCAAGGGUGCGCUUUAUGUCCAAGUAGGCAAAACACUUCCUCAAGGACGCGUUUUGCCCGUGUCUCCUGCGAUUAGGGUUUUGGGUUAUUGGUUUAAGGCUAGGGUUAGGGUUUUGGUGUUUUUAAGUUUAGGGUAUUAGAGAAAAUUUAAUAAAUAAGAGUUUAGAUUUUGUCAAUUAAAUUAAUUAUAAAUUUUUCAAAAUUGGAUUAGCUUUCGUGUUUAUUUUUUAAGAAAAAAUAAAUUAAAUUAGGGUUUAGGGUUACUUGAGUAAUUUAAUUAAAAAAAUUUUAAAAAUUAGAUUAGGGUUUAGAGUUAAGGGUUUUUAAGGAAAAUCAAAUAAAUUAGGGUUCAGCGUUACUUGAGUAAAUUAAUUAUAAUUUUUUAUAAAACUAGAUUAGGGUUUAGGGUUUAGGGUUUUUAAGUAAAAAUUCAAAUAAAUUUGGGUUUGGGGUUGAGGGUUACUUAAUUAAAUUAUUUGUUAAUUUAAAGAAGCUCCCACGUGGACGCACUUUUGCUACAGUAGCUCUUGAAAAAAUAAUUUCGAGUAGACGUUUUUGAGCAAAUAGUGUCAAAACGCUUUAAGCAGGAUGCUUUGUCAGCAGAAGUACUAAAAAAAGCUUCCACGUGGACAUGCUUUUGCUACUGUAGCUCCUAAAAAAUAAUUUUGAGUAGACGUUUCUAAGCAAAUAGAAUAAAAAACGCUUUAAGCAGGAUGUUUUGUCAGCAGAAGUACUGAAAGAAGCUCCCACGUAGACGCGUUUUUGCUACAGUAGCUCCUGAAAAAUAAUUUUGAGUAGACGUUUCUGAGCAAAUAGAAUCAAAAACGCUUUAAGCAGGAUGUUUUGUCAGCAGAAGUACUGAAAGAAGCUCCCACGUGGACGCGCUUUUGCUACAGUAGCUCCUGAAAAAAUAAUUUCGAUUAAAUGUUUCCGAGCAAAUAGUGUCAAAAACGCUUUAAGAAGGAUGCUUUGUCAGUAGAAGUUUUGAAAGAACCUCCCACGUGGACGCGCUUUUGCUACAGUAGCGCAUGUUUGGCCUGAGGCUAUAAAUGAUGCAAAUUUUUUUCUCAGAUUGCGUAAGUUACAACAAAAAAAUUGAGAGAGGCUAAGAAUGAUAGAAAUUGAAGAUGAGUAAACGUAUUAGUGCUGUUAUUUACUAUAAUGGUGAGGUUUGCCACACCGAGAAUGGUGUUAUUUUUUAUCAAAGAAUACAGUGCGACUGGUUUUUAACCAGAACAUAGAUUGGACAGAACUUCGUAAAAAAAUUAGGCGUAAAAUAUUUGGAACGACGCCAAUGAAAGUUCUGUCUAUUACGUAUCGAUUUUGUUCUUCUGUUGAUCCGGUGACAUAUGACUCGUUCGACAUAAAAAGUGCUUAUAGCUUGGAGGCAAUGGCUCGCUAGAGGAGCACCCUAUAUUGAAUUAUAUGUACAAUUUACAUCACCAAAUGAUGCACUUGCAACUAGUGUUCGAGAGGUAUACGCGACCCCUGCCCGACAAUCGGUUAGUGUGUUACAAAAUACGGAAUAACCCAUGUUUGGUAGCGGUGUGGAAUAUACAACCCCUGCACGACACUUUGUCACUGGAUGGGACAUGUACCUCGGUGGGUCGAUGUUUGAUGCUGGAAAUACGUACUGAGGAACGACAUCAACUUCUAGUGAUUGGCAAUCUACAUCCAAUUGGGGACGUUAUGAAAUGCCUAGAAAAAGGGAUGAUGUACUCCCUACGACGUUUACCGGGGAGGGGACCUCGUACGUUGUAGAUGAUGGUGGGUUAGAAGAUGACUUCGAUGUGGAUACACCUCGAGAGCCCGGGCUCGAUGGUGCAGAAGUUGCAUUAUUCUCUAAAUCGGAGCCUAUUCCAACCGAAUCUAAAAAUGUUGAAGGGGGUUCAGAUGAAGAAGAAGAUCUACGAUUCAGGGCAUACUCACCUCCAGCCCACAUGUAUAAUGUCGAUCUGUCUGCAGAUGAUGCGUUGGAGUUUCUAAAUCUACCACACCAGCUGCGUGAUCGUACAAGUUCGGUACAAGAUUUGGGUGAAUUUGAAAUUGGUAAUCAGUUUUCCAACAAGGAUAGUUUUAUUGGUACUUUGAAACAACAUAGCAUCAAUAACGGUGUUAACUACCACGUCGUUAAGUCCAAAGUUGAUAAGUUUAAGGCGAAGUGUGCAGUGCAAGACAGUACAUGUUCAUGGAAAAUCUACGCCUUGUUGAGGAAAAGGAUAGGGUUGUGGGAGAUUAAAAAGUACAAAGGUCCACAUACAUGUGUUGCAGGUAUAAUAUUUAGGGUCUCUGAAUAAUAUUGUUAUUAUGUAAUGUUGCAUUAUUUAAUGAACUCCGUUUAUAGGUAUUUCACAAGAUCCUCCCAAGAUGGAUUCAGCUAUGUUAGCUAGCUUGAUACUACCGACGGUGAAAGUAGAUCCUAAGACUUUAAUGCCGGUCUUAAUUACCAAUAUUCGUAGCCAAAUAAGGUACACGCCCUCUUACCGCAAGGCUUGGAUAGCUAAGCAGAAGGCGUUGGAGAAGAUGCAUAAUGGGUAGGACGCUUCAUAUAAUGACAUAUGGCAGUGGUGUUAAGUGCUAGAGAGAUACGUCCCAGGUUGCAUAAUAGACCUUCAAACGGAACAUGCGUACUACAACGAUCGAUUGCUGCAUGGAUGCCAAGUGUUCAAACACCUGUUUUGGACAUUUAAGCAAUUCCAAGACGCAUUUCCAUACUGCAAGCCAUUGGUACAAAUUGACGGUACCUUUAUGUUUGGUAGAUAUACCCAUCGGCUAUUGGUAGCAGUGGCACAGGAUGACAGUGGGAGAAUUCUUCCACUUGCAUUUGCAAUAACACCGGGGGAGUCAGCUGAUGAUUGGGAUUUCUUUCUAUCUAAGUUAAGAAGGCAUGUGUGCCCCUAACCUGAUAUAUGUGUUAUUUCAGAUUGAGGCACCGACAUACUAGCUACAAUUCAUCGACAGGGAAGCUUAUGGCAGCGCACACGCCAUCAGUAUUGCCUAAGGCACGUUGCUUCCAAUUACUACAAGAAAUAUCCAUCUAAGAGUGAACGACGACAAGUGACCAACAUGGGUAUUUAGUCUCUAUUAAUAUAAUUUUGUUUGUCAUUUUAGAUUUAUUCUAAUUGAAAGAGUGGUAUGUAAUAUUGCCUAUGAACUUAUAUUGGCAGGGUAUAAAAUAAAUAAAGAUCGUUUUCAUGAGAUGUUGGCAGUUUUGCGUUCAAUUAACGGCGAAGGCGCGGACUACAUUUGUAACAUACCUUUCGAACAGUGGGCACAAGCAUACGACGGUAGCCUACGAUAUGGUCAUAUGACCUCAAACCUGGCUGAAUGCAUAAAUUCUAUUCUAAAAGGAACGUGCCAUCUACCAAUAACAUCGGUUGUGCGAGAGACAUAUUUUCGUUUGGCGGCGUUAUUUCCAAAGCGAGUAGCAAGUUAUGCAGGCCAGAUAAAGAGAGGCCAUGUAUGGUGCAAUAAGGUAGUGCAAGAAAUUAACAAGGCUAAGGCGCGACCGAACACCAUGCACACAGUGUCACGAUCGAGACAACUUAUGGUUUCGCGUGACAGAGUUUGACAGACCGCACCAAGGUGUUAUUGGCAGGCAAUAUCGUGUACACUUGCGAAAUAGGACUUGCGGUUGUAGGAUGUUUGACGCACUUCGAUAUCCAUGCGCUCAUGUAAUUGCAGCUUUUCAGAAUCUCCAUCUGGAUCCUAUGAAUUAUGUCGACGAAGUGUACAAAUAAGAAAAUAUGUACAACGUUUGGAGACACAUAUUUCCACCGGUCCUAGAUGAACAUAAGUGGCCAUUUGUAUCACUUGCUCCCUUUAAGCUGUUACCGGAUAGAGAAUUGCGUCGCAAACCAAAGGGACGACCUUACUCAACUAGAAUACGUAACAAUAUGGAUAUCCGAGAAACAACCAGUCAACAGAAGUUGUACGAAUGGUGUAGAAACCCAGGCCAUACAAGCCGAUCAUGCCCAAAUCGCAAUAGUUGAACGUUAUUGUAAAAAACUUUGUAUUAUUUAUAUUUUUUUAAAUCAAAAAUUGGUACAAAUAUUCAGAAUAUUUAAAAGAAAAUCUAUUUUAUUAAAAAUAUUAAAGUAAAUUACAAUUACUUUAUUCAAAAUAACGUUUUAUUUUAUUAAAUGAAAUAAUAUAGAAAUAUUCAACAUAUUGCCGUAUUUAAAAGAAUUUAUAUUAUAUUAAAAAUGUAUAAGUAAAUUUCUAUUUUAGUACAUGAAAUAAUAUAGAAGAAUUUCUAUUUUAUUACAUCAAAUAAUAUCAAAGUAAUCAAAAUGUUUGUACAAAUAAAAAUCAAUCUCCGUGCCCGCCAGAUUCAGUGCCACAUGGCGGUCAUCGACGAUUACGCGUUGGAUUCCUCCUUUGUCCAUCUUCAGGCGGGGGUUGUGGUUGCUCCAGUGGGGAUUCUAGUUCCUCCGAUAGGGGAUCUAGUUGUCGAUGUUGGGACGAUGAGCCACCUUGAUAGAAUAGUGACUAUGGAGGUGUUUGCAUCACCAAUGACGAAGCUGUUUGAAACCCAUACAAUGAUGGGGUUUGCUAAAAAGAAGAGCUUCCCGACGGCUCCCCUUGUGAUCCCUCGUACGAUGCUGGCCUAUACAUCGGUGGUCCACUCAGCGUAAUCAAAAAUAGAGAUGAACCGGGUCAUUGACUCCAACCUGUCAUAGGGCUAGAAAAAGGAAACAUAUAAGGGUUAGGAUACAUAAAAGGGCUAGGAUACGCACCUGGCAUCAUCUGAAAAGGUUGUGUCGUGGGUAUCGUCGGUUGAAUUGCUGGGUCUGGUGACUGUGUCGGUGUUGUUGCUGGGCCUGGUAAGUGUAUGGGCGAUGAUGAUAGGCAGGGUAAAUGUCUGGGCCACAUUGAUGGGCUUGCAUCGUCGUCCCUUCUUCUUAGAUUUAAAGGGCCAUGUCGUUCUCUUUGGACACGUAAUUGCCACUGCCUCUAAGUCUGGAACGAUGGCAUGUAUUCUGGCACACACGCUAACUCUAGAUCCUAAACCAUGGCAUGUAUUGUGGCACGCACGCUAACUCUGGAACGAUGAUCGGUUCCCGAGUUGGUAUAUAAUCAUACCAAUAUUUUCUCAUUUGGAUAUAGUAUGACCAGAAUCUCGACCAAUCCGUAUGCAGUUGCCGUAGGUCGAUUUUGUGAUGAUUAUCCAACACCUCAGGUGCCACGGGAAUCGGUUGUCGAAAUCUAAAUUGCCGUAAUACUCUGUCCGAAUGGUACAUCUCCACAGACGCAAAGUUAACCAAUGGGACUUUCACAUGCCAAGCAUUUGGAUUUUGGAAGUACUCAUCCGAAAUUACUGCCCGAAUUGCCGGAUCCUUGUAUGGUGCCCAUUGAAACUGUAUGACCAUGAUGGAAAUAUUAGUUAUAUACUAAAUACUAAAUACCAAUCGGCUAUCUCAUGAUGGAAAUAUCUAUUUUAUUUAAUACUUGUGCUUCCGACCGUUGGUCUAAUAGAAGCCGUAUAUCUUCAAAAGAGGUAGGUAAUAGAGCAUAACUUGCAAGAUGGUUCCACCUAAUUAAAUAAUUUUUUAGCAUUCGAUUAUAUUUUAAAUCUACUUAAUAAUUGUAAAAUCUAAUAUAAAAUUUACCUCGUUUUGAGUAGGAAUGUAUACGGGUGAUCCACUUGAGGACGUAAAAAUGGAAAGCAAAAUCGUGCCCAUGACUGCAGUAGUGACAGGCAACCUCCGAUUUUCUCUUUAUUCGGUUGCGUCGCCCUGCACAUCUCCCGGUACAAUGUUGCCAACACGGUAGACCCCCAACUAAUUCACCAGCUGCUCGAAAAUCAACGAGUUUUAGUAGCCAUCUUAGAUGUACGAGGUUCCGUGACAAGUCCGGCAUCAGAUAACCUCUAAUUAUCUAAAGAUUGUAUGCGCGAGCAUAUCGGAUUCUUUCUAGUUCGGUUGUAUCAUUAUCCGAAUACGGGAAUGUAUCUAGUAACCAGCUCAUCACGAUCUGACCUCCGUUAAUAUUCUCUAGAAUAGUGCCCAAAAGCUCGUAGCAUACAACUCCCCAAUCAUCAAAUUGAAUAAACCUAGUGACUGCGUACCCGUCCACCAGCAAUUCCAAUUGCAAAUUGGCAUUUUCUAAAGUGAUAGUGCACUCUCCACAUAAAAGAUGGAACGUAUGCAUCUCAGGUCUCCACCUCUCGACCAACGCACUAAUAAGUUUCAGAUCCAACUUGCAUCCCCGGCCUACUAUCGCCACGUGCAAAAAACCCGCCGUCCGUAGGUAGUUCUCUACCAACGGUGAUGGAGGACCAUGCAUAUUACGAAUAUAGCAUUGCAAGAUCCGAUCUACUGACUUUUAUAGCUUGUAUGGCCUGGGUUCCUACACCAUCCGCACAACUUCUGUUGACUGGCUGUUUCUCGGAUAUCCAUAUUGUUACAUAUUCUAAUCGAGGAAAGUCGACCCUUUGGUUUGCGACGCAAUUCUCUAUCCGGUAACAGCUUAAAGGGAACAAGCGAUACAGAUGGCCACUUACAUUCAUCUGGGACCGGUGGGAAUACAUCUCUCCAGAUGUACAUGUUUUUUAAUUUCUACACUUCGUCGACAUAGCUCAUCAGAUCUAGACGGAGAUUCUAACAAGCUACAAUUACAUGAGCGCAUGGAUAACGAAGUGCGUCAAACAUCCCACAGUCACAAGUCUUAUUUCGCAAGUGUACACGAUAUUGCCCGCCAAUAACACCUUGGUGCAGUCUGUUAAACUCUGUCACGCGAAACCUUAAGUUGUCUCGAUUGUGACACACUGUGUGCAUGGUGUUCGCCUGCGCUUUGGCCUUGUUAAUUUCUUGUACUACCUUACUGCAUCAUACAUGGCCUCCCUGCAUCUGGCCUGCAUAACUCGCUGCUCGCUUUGGAAAUAGCGCCGCCAAACGAAAAUAUGUCUCGCACAAUCGAUGUUAUCGAUAGAUGGCGCGUUCCUUUUAGAAUAGAAUUUAUGCAUUCAGCCAGGUUUGAGGUCAUAUGACUAUAUCGUAGGCCGCCGUUGUAUGCUUGUGCUUACUGUUCGAAAGGUAUGCUACAAAGGUAGUCCGCGCCUUCGCCGUUAACUGAAUGCAAAACUGCCAACAUCUCAUGAAAAUGAUCUUUAUUUAUUUCAUACCCUGCCAAUAUAAGUUCAUAGCCAAUAUUACAUACCACUCUUUCAAUUAGAAUAAAUUUAAAAUGACAAACGAAAUUAUAUUAAUAGAGACUAAAUACCCAUGUUGGUCACUUGUCAUCGUUCACUCUUAGAUGGAUAUUGCCUAUAGUAAUUGAAAGCAACGUGCCUUAGGCAAUACCGAUGGUGUGUGCGCUGCCAUAAGCUUCCUUGUCAAUCAAUUGCAGCUAGUAUGCCGGUGCCCCCAUCCGAAAUAACACAUAUAUCAGGUUGAGGGUACACAUGCCUCCUUAACAUAGAUAGAAAGAAAUUCCAGUUAUCAGCUGACUCCCCCGGUGUUAUUGCAAAUGUAAGUGGAAGAAUUCUCCUACUACCAUCCUGUGCCACUGCUACCAAUAGCCGAUGGGUAUAUCUACCAAACAUAAGGGUACAGUCAAUUUGUACCAAUGGCUUGCAGUAUGGAAAUACGUCUCGGAAUUGCUUAAAGGUCCAAAAUAGGCGUUUGAACACUUGACAUCCACGUAGCAAUCUGUCGUUGUAGUACGCAUGUUCCGUUUGAAGGUCUGUUAUGCAACCUAGGACGUAUCUCUCUAGCACUUGACACCACUGCCAUAUUUCAUUAUAUGAAGCGUCCCACCCACUAUGCAUCUUCUCCAAUGCCUUCUGCUUAGCUAUCCAAGCCUUGCAGUAAGAGGGCGUAUACCCUAUUUGGCUACAAAUAUUGGUAAUUAAGAAUGACACUGAAGUCCUGUGAUCUGCCUUCACCGUGGGUAAUAUCAAGCUAGCUAACAUAGCUGAAUCCAUCUUGAGAUGAUCUUGUAAAACACCUAUAAAUGGAGUACAUUAAAUAAUACAACAUUACAUAAUAACAAUAUUAUUCAGAAACCCUAAAUAUUGUACCUGCAGCACAUGUAUGUGGACUUUUGUACUUUUUAAUCUCCCAUAACCCUGUCAUUUCCUUCAACGAGGCAUAGAUUUUCCCUGAACAUGUAUCGUCUUGCACUGCACACUUUGCCUCAAACUUAUCAGCUUUGGACUUAACGACGUGGUAGUUAACGCCGUUAUUGAUGCUAUGUUGUUUCAAAGCACCAAUAAAACUAUCCUUAUUGGAAAACUGAUUACCAACUUCAAAUUCACCCAAAUCCAGUACAAACUUGUACGAUCACGCAACCGGUGUGGUAGAUCUGGAAACUCCAACGCAUCAUCUGCAGUCAGAUCAACAUUAUGCAUGUGGGCUGGAGGUGAGUAUGCCCUGAAUCGUGGAUCUUCUUUUUCAUCUGAACCCCCUUCAACAUCUUCAGGUUUAGUUGGAAUUGGCUCCGGUUCAGAGAAUAAUGCAACUUCUGCACCAUCGGGCCUGAGCACUCAUGGUGGAUCCACAUCGAAGUCAUCUUCUAACCCACCAUCAUCUACAACGUAUGAGGUCCCUCACCAGUAGACGUCGUAAGGAGUAUAGCAUCCCUUCUUCUGGGCAUUCCACAACGUCCCCAAUUGGAUGUAGAUUGCCAACCACUAGAAGUUGAUGUCGUUCCCCAGUACAUAUUUCCAACAUCCAACAUCGACCCACCAAGGUGCAUGUCCCAUCCAUCGACAGAGUGUUGCGUAGGGUUUGUGUAUUCCACACCGCUACCAAACAUGGGUUUUUCCGUGUUUUGUAACCCACUAAUUGAGUGUCGGGCAGGGGUUGCAUAUACCUCUCGAACACCAGUCGCAAGUGCAUCAUUUGGCGAUGUAAAUUGUACAUAUAACUUAAUAUAGGGUACUCCACUAGCGAAAUGAGUCUGCACCAUUGCCUCCAAGCUACGAGCACAUUUUAUGUUGAACGAGUCAUAUGUCACUGGAUCAAUAGAAGAACAAAAUCGAUAUGUAAUAGACAGAACUUUCAUUGGCGUCGUUUCGAAAAUUUUACGCCUAAUUCAUUUACGAUGUUCUGUCAAAUCUAUGUUCUGGUUGAAAACGUGUCGCAUUGUAUUCUUUGAUAAAAAUAACACCGUUCUCGGUGUGGCAAACUUCACCAUCAUAGUAAAUAACAGCACUAAUAUGUUCACUCAUCUUCAAUUUCUAUCAUUCUUAGCCUUUCUCAAUUUUUGUUGUUGUAACUUAUGCAAUCUGAGAAAAAAAUUUGCAUCAUUUAUAGCCUCAGGCCAAACAUGCACUACUGUAGCAAAAGUGUGUCCACGUGGGAGCUUCUUUCAAUACUUCUACUGAUAAAGCAUCCAGCUUAAAACAUUUUUGACACUAUUUACUCGGAAAUGUCUACUCAAAAUUAUUUUUUCAGGAGCUACUGUAGCAAAAACGCAUCUACGUGGGAGCUUCUUUUAGUACUUCUGCUGACAAAGCAUCCUGCUUAAAGCAUUUUUGACACUAUUUGCUCAGAAAUGUCUACUCAAAAUUAUUUUUUCAGGAGCUACUAUAGCAAAAGCACAUCCACGUGGGAGCUUCUUUUAGUACUUCUGCUAACAAAGCAUCCUGCUUAAAGCAUUUUUGACAUUAUUUUCUCAAAAACGUCUACUCAAAAUUAUUUUUUCAGGAGCUACUGCAGCAAAGGCGCGUCCACGUGGGAGCUUCUUUUAGUGCUUCUCCUGACAAAGCAUCCUGCUUAAAGCGUUUUUGACACUAUUUGCUUAGAAACAUCUAGUCGAAAUUAAUUUUUCAGGAGCUACUGUAGCAAAAGUGCAUCCUUGUGGGAGCUUCUUUAAAUUAACAAAUAAUUUAAUUACGUAACCCUAAACCCCAAACCCUAAUUUAUUUGAGUUUUUACUUAAAAACCCUAAACACUAAAUCCUAAUCUAAUUUUUUAAAAAUUUAUAAUUAAUUUACUCAAGUAAUCCUAAACCCUAAUUUAUUUGAUUUUUCCAUAAAACCUUUAACUCUAAACCCUAAUUUUUUUUUAAAUUUAAUUAAAUUACUCAAGUAACCCUAAACCCUAAUUUUGAAAAAUUUAUAAUUAAUUUAAUUGACAAACCCUAAACCCUAAUCCCUUAUUUAUUUAAUUUUUUCUCUAAAACCCUAAACUUAAAAAAUACCAAAAUCCUAACCCUAACCCUAAACCAAUAACCCAAAACCCUAAUCAUAGGAGACACGGGCAAAACGCGUCCUUGAGGAAGCGUUUUGCCUACUUGGACAUAAAGCGCGCCCUUGAGGGAGCGAUUUUUGUCCAUGUAGGCAAAACUCUUCCUCAGGGAUGCGUUGUCUUGCGAUGUCUCCUGAUAUCGCACUGAUGUGGACGCAUUUUCGGGAAAAUAGGGCCAUUCCAGUAAAUAAUUAAUUACCGGGCCCAUUUCGGUAAAUUUUUAACAAAAUGGGCUUUUAUAUGUAAUUUUCCCAAAGGGUUUAGUUGUGAAAAAAAUGAAAGGGGGUUUUAUAGUUUUUUUUUACCGUUGGGGGCAUCACCAACUAUCAAAAAAGUAACCGUUGCUACUAUUCACGCGUGGGCAAAAUGCGUCCCCAAGGGAGUGCUUACGUGGCAGGAAAACGUGUCCUUGAGGGAGCGAUUUCUGUCCACGUAGGCCAAACGCUUCCUUAGGGACGCGUUUUCCUGCCACGUCCCUUGACAUCGCAUUGACGUGGACGCGCUUUCGGGGAAUUGGGCUAUUUUGGUAAAUAAUUAUUUAUCGGGCCCAUUUUGGUAAAUUUUAAAAAAGGGCUUUUAUAUUUAAUUUGCCCCAUUUUAGCUCACAUAUUCUAUAUAAAAAGGGAAGAUUUUAGAAAUAAACCCAACUUAUACAAAAAAAAAUUGGCAAAAACCUUAUAAAUGUGGCUAUUUUACUAAACUGGUCCAAAAAAUUUAAUAUUUACAAAAAUAACCUAUGUUUAAAAACAACCACUAAAAUAACCUAAAAUGAACAGUAAAAAGGGGUUUUGGCUUAUCAAUGGCCGGCACCACCUGGUAUUCUAGACCCAUGAUUGCCUGAUGAUUGUGUCAAACUUUAAAAAAUUAAUUUUUUUGGUUCUAACUUAUCAAUGAUUGACACCAAUGUAUUUUUUUUUAAAUUGUAUCAUAUUGGUAUACAAAAAAUAAUAAAAACAAAAAACAAUUUGGUGUUGGCUUGUCAAUGGCCAGCACUAGGCACCAGUAGACGAAAAAAUAAUUUUUUUGGGUGCUAGCCUGUCAAUGGACAGCACCAAGCACCAGUAAACGAAAAAAAAAUUUAGGUGCUGGUCAAUCAAUGGCCGGCACCAGUAUUCGAAAAAAAUUUGGGUGCUGGCCUGUCAAUCACCGCCACCACCAGUACGAAAAAAAUUUUGGGUGUUGGCCAAUCAAUGGUCGGCACCACCAGUUAAAAAAAAUUGUGCUGGCAUGUUAAUGGUCGGCACCACUAGUACGAAAUUUUUUUUUCUUGGGUGUUGGCCAAUUAAUGGCCGAUCCCACCAGUACGAAAAAAAAUUUUGGGAGCUUGCCAGUCAAUGGCCAGCACCACCAGUACGAAAAAAAAAUUUAGGUGCUGGCUUAUCUAUUGUUGGCACCACCGAAACAAAAAAAUAAUUUUUUUUGGGUGCAGACCAGUCAAUGGCCGGCACCGGUAUACGAAAAAAGUUUUAGGUGCUUGCCUAUCAAUGGCCGGCACCACCAGUACGAAAAUAAAUUUUAGGUUCUAGCCUUUUAAUGGCUGGCACGACCAGUACAAAAAAAUUUUUGUGCUGGCUUGUCAAUGGCCGACACCAAAAAUACGAAAAAAAAUUUGGUGCUGGCCUGUUAAUGACUGGCACCAGUAUACGAAAAAAAUUUAGGUGCUGGCCUUCUGAUUGUCGGCAUCAAACUUUAUAUAUAGUGGGUGGUUUGAGUUUUGAUAGUGUAAAUAGAAUGAGAAAAAAAAUUGAAAGAGCCAUCAAAAUGAGAGUGUUUUGUAGUAUAUCAUCAAAUGAGUUUCUUUGGAGUGGAUUAUAUAUGGAGUUUUUCGUAGUGUAUAACCGAAUUUUGGGGUUGAAUUAUAUAUUGUCAUAUUUUAAUGGAGUUGAAUUAUAUACUGUCAUGUCCACCUAAAGGUUAUGCCAUUAAGGGUUGGAAGAUUAUUUGCACUAUAGAUGGCUAAUCGAGUUGUCCAAUGCAGAUGGACAUUAGCUAUGGUGCAAUAGUGUUUAUUCCGCAACUAGGUUGUGGUUGGAACCGGUUGAUAAAGUCUCCAUGCAAAGGUAUCUCAUGGGAUAAUGGAAGAAGAAAAGGUCUAGUAUUACUUAUUUUAAUUAUUAUUUUUUAAAUACUACGAAGUUAUUAAUUCAAACAAAUAAUUAUUUUAGAGAAAUUAAAUUGUUAAAAAAUAAAAAAAUUUAAAAAUAAAAUAAAUAUUUAUAGAAUAAUUUUUAAAUAAAGUAAAAAUUAACAGAAAAAAUUAAAUUGUCGCGAUCCGGGGGACAUCCCCAGCGCUGGCGUGUAACGGUCCGGAUGCCUCCGUUGGUGAUGCCAUGCACCUUGUUGAGGCGUUUGAUAAUUGCUUGGUUUGGCGUCCGGUGUCCUGUCCGGUGUACAUAAAAAGGUAGAAUAAUCAUCUACACUAUAAUCAGGAGUUAAUUGGUAUUGCGUAACCGGAGGUGCCGAUGGAAAAAUAUCCUCAGUGGUUGGUAUACGUGCUUCGGGAUGGAACUUCAAGUGGUAUGAGGAUGAUCCGGAUCAUGUCGAAUGUUGAGGCUCGAGGUCAUCACCAAAAAUAUCUUCGAACGAUAGAGGAAUUUCAUGCAGCGGAUCCGGAUCCAUGUUGUGUGAUGAUAAGCAGGAUGCUUCAUAUUGGGCCUUGAGAUCGGGGUUCAAGGCAGUAUCGAACUCGAUGUUCCCUAAUGGCAGAACUCAGUUACUGUGCGGUUGUGUGUUCCUUGGUUGCCAUCGAGAAGAUUCAGGUUGCGCGUAUCUUUGGAUCAGCAUGUACUGGCCUUGGAAUAUAAAGGGUUUCCCGUGUGCCAUAUACCAUGCUGCGUACUCAGGCGUAGGAGAGAACCCUCCCUCUAAGACAUACAAGGGAGGCCGCCUCGAAUAUCGCUGAUUCCACAGAAAGAUAUACGGUUCAUGUUUUUACGCCCAAUUUAAAGUGUCCCGACCCGAACCCUUUUUAUCCAUUCCGUGGAAUUCCUUGAUGUCGACGGGAGGGUUCGGGAUAGGUUGUGCUCAACUGAACUGCCUCAAAAGCUGACCUCCAUCGUGCCACUCCAUCAUAUGGAAAUGAAUCAACAGCACAUUUGACACGAACAACUGUUGCUGCUCGAUAGCCCAUGAUGGUAUGAGCCUCGCAAUAUCUUCCUCAUUAUAUGGCAUCCAUAUAAACAACAAACUAAAGACAACACGUUUUUUUUCUUGUGCAAUUAUUGUAUUUAAAAAAAAUUCGGAAUUAUAUUUUACGCCAUCCCCAGAAUGAGUCUCUAUCAUUAUACUAUACAUAGAUACGGUGAACGAUUGCCUGAUUCCCGGUACAGCUGCCCAUCUAAAACAAGAAAAAUUAUCAAAUUAUUUUCCCAUAAAAAAUAAGUAUAUUAUAGUAUAAAAUAAAAAAAUAGAUGGAAAAAUUGAACUACAUAUUUACCUAUUAACGAGUGGUCAGACAUACGGUUGGUGGCUCAUUGAUGCCAGAAAUGGCAUUCGGUAUAAUGCCCAAGACUGCAGUAGAAGGUAGCAACCGCCCAUUGUUUUCGUAGACGGUUUUGUAGCUCGACAAAGCUCGCGGUAUAAGUAUGGCAACACUCCAGAGCCCUAACUAAAUCUUCCGGCAAACUCAAGAUCCUCUAAUAAGGGGAGAUACAUUAUUGAGACUUUAUUUUGAUUAAUGUCCGGCAAAAGUAUCCCAGCUAUAAGUUGAAGAAUGAACGCUCUUGCAGCGUAAAUAAUGUCCAUCUGCGUUGGACUACUCGGAAUAUGCUGGAAGCUUUAUUUUAACCAAGUAAAUUUAAUAUAUGUUAAUCGUCCUUCCUCAUUGUUCGGGGGCACCCUUCCAAGUAACCGCUCGCAAGUGCCGCACGGAUCGGACACCUUUCCAAGCUCGGUCAUUGCUUCGCCGUUUAUAGACAGCCCUAGUUGGAUUGCUACGUCUUGCAGUGUAAUAUUUACCUCUCCACAUGAGAGGUGGAACGUAUGUGUCUCCGGGCACCAUCUUUCAACUAAUGCCGAUAUUAAAUCAGUCGUAGCUCAAAUAUCUUAAUGUACGUGGCUACCCCAAAACCCGCGACAUUCAAAUACGGUAUAACUUUUCGAUCGGGAAAAUAACAGGGGUCAUACAACUGGGGUCUCACAAUUCUGUACAAAUUCUGCAUUUAUAGUAAAUAUAUAAUGUUAUAUUUCUCGUUUUAAAAAUAAUUUAAAAGAAUAUUUAUAAUUAAAUAAGACAUUUUAUUUCUCGUUUACCUUAUGCACAUUGCUUGCAAUGUGAUCGUUGUCAUUUAAAAGAACAUUCAGAUUAGGAUCCAUGGAGUUAUUGGCAAUUGUCGGCGGUGGUUGAAGGUGAACAACAACGGUCGUUGGAGGUGGUUGAGGGUGAAUCGCGGUGGCCGUCGGAGUUGCCUAUUUAUAUUGGGGGGACCAUUUGGCUGAAGGGAAAAAUUGGAAAAAAAAUGGCCAAAAGAAAAAAAAGUGUAAGGUCGGCCACUGGAAGGCCAAAUGGGCCAGUGACACAGGCCUAACGUAGAUGGGUCAUUUCAACCCUUUUUUUUAUUCAAAAUUUAUUUUAAUUUCAUUACUUUUUAUUUUAGUUUCAUUUAAAUUUUCCUAAUAUCAGGGUAAUUUAAUUUUUUCAUCUAUUUUUAAAAUUUUUAUAUUUUAUUUGUCAAUUUAAAUUUAAAAGUUUUCUAAAAAAAGCUAAUUUCAUUUUUUUGGGGUUUUUUAAGCCUGACACCCCAUUUAGAUAAAUUAAAUUUGUUAAAAUAAAUCUAAUUUCAUUUUUUCAUUUAAUAUUUUAUUUAAAUAUUUUCAUUUAUUUAUUAUUUUUGUCAAUUUAAAUUUUAAAUUUGUUAAAAAUUUAUUUUUUCGUAUACUGGUGCAGCCAUUGACUGACCAGCACCCAAAAAUUUUUUUUUUCUUAUUGGUGGUGCUGGCCAUUGACAGGCUAGCACCCAAAAAAAAUUUUUUUUUUGACAACGACUACAUUGCAGGCAAUAUGCAUAAGGUAAACGAGAAAUAAAAUGUCUUAUUUAAUUUUAAAUAUUCUUUUAAAUUAUUUUUAAAACAAGAAAUAUAGCAUUAUAUAUUUACUAUAAAUGCAGGAUUUUUACAGAAUUGUGAGGCCUCGAUUGCAUGAUCCCGGUUAUUUUCCCGAAUGUCACGGGUUUUAGGGUAGCUACGUACAUUAAGAUAUCUGAGCUACGGGUUGAUUUAAUAUUGGCAUUAUUUGAAAGAUGGCGCCCGGAGACACAUACGUUCCACCUCCCAUGUGGGGAGGUAAAUAUUACACUGUAAGACAUAGCAAUCCAACUAGGGCUAUCUAUAAACGGCGAAGCAGUGACCGGGCUUGGAAAAGCGCCCGAUCCGUGGGGCACUUGCGAGCGGUUACUUGGAAGGGUGCCCCCGAACAACGAGGAAGGACGAUUAACAUAUAUUAAAUUUACUUGGUCAAAAGAAAACUUCCAACAUAUUCCAAGCAGUCCAACGCAGAUGGACAUUAUCUACGCUGCAAGAGCAUUCAUUCUUCAACUUAUAGGUGGGAUACUUUUGCCGAACGUCAAUCAAAAUAAAGUCUCAAUAAUGUAUCUCCCCUUAUUAGAGGAUCUCGGGCUUGCCGGAAGAUUUAGUUGUGGUUCAGCAGUGUUGGCAUGCUUAUACCGCGAGUUUUGUCGAGCGACAAAGCCGUCUACGAAAACAAUGGGGAGUUGCUGCCUUCUACUGCAGUCUUAGGCAUUAUACCGAAUGUCAUUUCUGGCAUCAAUGAGCCACCAACCGUAUGUCUGGCCACUCGUUAAUAGAUAAAUAUGUAGUUCAAUUUUGCCAUCUAUUUUUUUAUUGUAUAAUAUAAUAUACUUAUUUUUUUCCAGGGAAAAAUAAUUUGAUAAAUUUUCUUUUUUUAGAUGGGCAAUUGUACCGGGAAUCGGGCGAUCGUUCAUCAUACCUGUGUAUCGUAUGAUGAUAUAGACUCAUUCUGAGGAUGGCGUAAAAUACGAUUUCGAAUAUUUCUUUUUUAAAUACAAUAAUUGCACAAGAAAAAAAUAACAUGUUGUCUUUAUUUUGCAGUUUAUAUGGAUGCCAUAUAAUGAGGAAGAUAUCACGGUACUCAUACCAUCAUGGGUUAUCGAGCAGCAACAGCUAUUCGUGUCAAAUGUGCCGAUGAUUCAUUUCCAUAUGGUAGAGUGGCACGAUAGAGGUCGGGUUUUGAGGUAGUUCAGUUGCGCACAACCUAUCCCGAACCAUCCUGUCGACAUCAAAGAAGUCCACAGAAUGGAUAAAAAGGGUUCGGGUUGGGACGCUUUAAAUUGGGCACAAAAACAUGAACCGUAUAUCUUUCUAUGGAAUCAGCAACACUUGAGGCGCCCUCCCUUGUAUGUCUUAGAUGGAGGGUUCUCUCUUACACCUAAGUAUGCAACAUGGUAUAUGACACACGGGAAACCCUUUAUAUUCCAAAGUCAGUACAUGCUAAUCCAAAGAGACGCACAACCUGAAUCUUCUCGAUGGCAACUAAGGAACGCACAACCGCGCAGUAAUCGAGUUCCGCCAUUCAGGAACAUCGAGUCUGAUACUACCUUAAACCCCAAUCUCGAGGCCCAAUAUGAAGCAUCCUACUCAUCAUCACACAACAUGGAUCCGGAUCUGCUGCAUGAAAUUCCUCCAUCGUUCGAAGAUAUUUUUGGUGACAACCUCGAGCCUCAAUAUUUGACACGAUCUAGAUCAUCUUCACACCACCUGGAGUUCCAUCCCGAAGCACUUACACCCACCACUGAGGAUACUUUUCCAUUGGCACCUCCGGUCAUGCAAUACCAAUUAACUCCCAAUUAUAGUGUAUAUGAUUAUUCUACCUUUUUAAGUACAUCGGACAGGACACAAAAUGCCGAACCGAGCAAUUAUCAAAUGCCUCGGCAAGGUGCACGGCAUCACCGACGGAGGCAUCCGGACCGUUACAUGCCAGAGUCGGGGAUGUCCCCGGGAUCGCGACAAUUUUAAUUUUUUCUGUUAAUUUUUACUUUAUUUUAAAAUUAUUCUAUAAAUAUUUCUUUUAUUUUUAAAAUUUUAUAUUUUUUAAUAUUAAUUUAGUUUCUCAAAAAUAAUUAUUUGUUUGAAUAAAUGACUUUGUAAUAUUUAAAAAAUAAUAAUUCAAAUAAGUAAUACUAGACAUUUUCUUCUUCCAUUGUCCUAUGAGAUACCUUUGCAUAGAGACUCUAUCAACCAGUUCCAACCACAACCUAGUUGCAGAAUAAACACUAUUGCCCAAAAAUUUGAUAAUUGUACUCUUCCAAAAGUUUCAACAAAUCAAAUUUAUAAGAAAAUAAUUUUUGAAACUUUAAAGGCCUUUUAUAGAUAUGUUAUAAAAACAAAAGAAAAAAGGUUUACCUAUCAAAAAAGAAACAUGAAACUAUCCAAUUAUUAGAUAGAUUCGUCAUUAAUAAACAUACAUAGUAUCAAACAAUUUAUUAGGACAGUCUAGAACUAUAUGAAGGUUCUGUCGUCUCUGGAACUAAUAAAGAAAAGGAAAAUAAUAUAUUUAAGCGGUAUUUAGGGGAAAUUUACCAAAAAAAGCCAAUUUUUUUCAAAUUACCAAAAUGGGCCCGGUAUUUUAUUAUUUACUGGAAUGGGCUCUUUUCCCCGAAAUCGAGUCCACGUCAGUGCGAUGUCAAGGGACAUGCCAGCAAAUCGAGGCCACGUCAGCGCGCUUUGCUGACGUGGUCGCGAUUUGCCCAUUUUUCCCAUGAUAGGUUUUUAGGGUUUAGGGUUUAGGGUUUUGGAUAAAAAAAGUAAACAAAUAAGUCGCGCCCACGUGUACGCGCUUUUGCUACAGUAGGUCCUGGAAAAAUAAUUUUGAGUUGACGUUUCUGAGCAAAUAGUAUAAAAUCGCUUCUAGCAGGAUGCUAUUUGGUAAGAAUUUGUAAAAUCGCGCCCUCGUGGACGCGCUUUUGCUACAGUAGGUCCUGGAAGAAAUAAUUUUAAGUUGACAUUUCUGAGCGAAUAGUAUGAAAAACGCUUAGAGCAGGAUGCUUUAUGAGAAGAAUUUGUGAAAUCGCGACCUCGUGGACGCGCUUUUGCUACAGUAGGUCUUGGAAGAAAUAAUUUUGAGUUGACGUUUCUAAGCAAAUAGUAUAAAAUCACUUCUAGUAGGAUGCUAUUUGAUAAGAAUUUGUGAAAUCGUGCCCUCGUGGACGCGAUUUUGUUACAGUAGCAUGUCUGGGCUGAGGCUAUAAAUGAGGCAGAAAAAUGUUCUCAGAAUGCAUAAGUCACAGCAGAAACAAUUUAGAGAGGCUAAGAAGGUUAGAGUUUCAAAUAUGAGUGAACGUAUUAGUGCUGUUAUUUAUUAUGAUGGUGAAGUUGCCACACCGAGAAUGGUAUUAUUUUUUUGUCCGAGAAUACGGUGCGACUGGUUUUUAACCAGAACAUAGAUUUGACAGAACUUCGUAAAAGAAUUAGGAGUAAAAUUUUCAGAACGACGCCAAUAAAAGUUCUGUCUAUUACGUAUCGAUUCUGUUCUUCUGUUGGUCCGGUGACAUAUAACACGUUCGACAUAAAAUGUGCUCGUAGCUUGGAGGUAAUGGUGCAGACUCAUCUUGCUAGUGAAGCACCUUAUAUUGAGUUAUAUGUACAAUUUACAUCACCAAAUGUUGUACUUGCGACCGGUGUUUGAGAUGUAUACACGACCCCUGGCCGACAUUCGGUUAACGGGUUACAAAACACGGAACAGCCCAUGUUCAGUAGCGGUGUUGAAUGCAUAUCCCCCACAAGACACUCUGUCGGUGGAUAGGACAUGUACGUCAGUGGCUCGAUGUUUGAUGCUGAAAAUACGUAUUGGGGAACGGCAUCAAGUUCUAGUGGUUGGCAAUCUACAUUCAAUUGGGGACGUUAUAAAAUGCCUAAAAGAAAGGAUGAUGUACUCCCUAUGACGUCAAGCGGUGAGGGAGCCUCUUACGCUGCAGAUGAUUGUGGGUUAGAAGAUGACUCCGAUGUGGAUCCACCUCGAGAGCCCGGGCCUGAUAGUGCAGAAGUUGGCUUAUUUUCUGAACCGGAGCCUAUUCCAACAGAGCCUGAAGAUGCUGAAAGGAGUUCAGAUAAAGAAGAAAAUCCACGAUUCAGAGCAUACUUACCUCCAGCCCACAUGCAUAAUGUCGAUUUGUCUGCAGAUGAUGCGUUAUAGUUUCCAGAUCUACUACACCGGUUGCGUGAUCGUACAAGUUCAGGGUUAGAUCCAGGUGAAUUUGGAUUUGGUAAUCAGUUUACCAACAAGGAUAGUUUUAUUGGUGCUUUGAAACAACAUAGCAUAAAAGCGGUGUUAAGUACCACGUCGUUAAAUCCAAAUCUGAUAAGUUUGAGGCGAAGUGUGCGGUGCAAGACGGCACAUGUUCAUGGAAAAUCUACGCCUCGUUAAGGAAAAGGACAGGGUUGUGGGAGAUUAAAAAGUACAAAGAUCCACAUACAUGUGCUGCAGGUACAAUAUUGACGGUAUCUGAAUAAUACUUUUAUUAUGUAAUGUUGUAUUAUUUAAUGUACUCCGCUUAUAGAUGUUUCACAAGAUCAUCCCAAGAUGGAUUCAGCUAUUUAGCUAGCUUGAUAUUGCCCACGGUAAAAGCAGAUCCCAAAACUUCAGUGCCGGUGUUAAUUGCCAAUAUCCGUAGCCAAAUGGGGUACACGCCCUCAUACCGCAAGGCUUGGAUAGCUAAGCAAAAGACGUUGGAGAAGAUGCAUAGUGGGUGGGACGCAUCAUAUAAUGAAAUAUGGCAGUGGUGUCAAGUGCUAAAGAGAUACGUCCUAGGUGCCAUCACAGACCUUGAAACGGAACAUGCGUACUACAACGGCCGAUUGUUACGUGGAUGCCAAGUGUUCAAACGCCUGUUUUGGACCUUUAAGCAAUGCCGAGACGCAUUUCCAUACUGCAAGCCAUUGGUACAAAUUGACGGUACCUUUAUGUUUGGUAGGUAUACUCAUCGGCUAUUGCUUACAGUGGCACAUGAUGGCAGUGGGAGAAUUCUUUCAAUUGCAUUUGCAAUAACACCUGGGGAGUCGUCUGAUGACUGAGAUUUCUUUCUCUCUAGGUUAAGGAGGAAUGUGUGCCCCCAACCUGAUUUCUGUGUUAUUUCAAAUCGAGGCACCGGUAUACUAGCUGCAUUUGAUUGAUAGGGAAGCUUAUGGCAGCGCACACACCAUUGAUAUUGCCUAAGACACGUUGCUUCCAACUGCUACAAGCAAUAUCCAUCUAAGAGCGAACGAUGACAAGUGACCAACAUGUGUAUUUAGUUUAUAUCUGUGUUAUUUCGUUUGUCAAUUUCAAUUAGUUUUAUUGUUAGAAGUGGUAUGUAAUAUUCGCUAUGAACUUAUAUUGGUAGGGUAUGAAAUAAAUAAAGACCGUUUUCACGAGAUGUUGGCAAUUUUAUGUUCAAUUAACGGAGAAUGGGCAGACUACCUUUGUAACGUACGUUUCGAACAAUGGGUACAAGCAUACGACGACGGCCUACGAUAUGGCCAUAUGACGUCACACCUGGCUGAAUGCAUAAAUUCUAUUCUUAAAGUAACUCGCCAUCUACCGAUAACAUCGGUUGUGCGAGAGACAUAUUUUCAUGUGGCGGCGCUAUUUCCAAAGCGAGCAGCAAGUUAUGCAGGCAAGAUGUAGGGAGGCCAUGUAUGGUGCAGUAAGGUAGUUCAAGAAAUUAAUAAAGCCAAGGCGUGGGCAAACACCAUGCACACAAUGUGUCACGAUCGAGACAAGUUAUGGUUUCGCGUGACAGAGUUUGACAGACCGCACCAAAGUGUUGUUGGCGGGCAAUAUCAUGUGCACUUAUGAAAGAGAACUUAUGACUGUGGAAUGUUUGAUGCGCUUCGUUAUCCAUGCGCUCAUGUUAUUGCAGCUUUUCAAAAUCUCCGUCUGGAUCUGAUGAGCUAUGUGGAUGAAGUGUACAAAUUUGAAAACAUGUACAACGUCUGGAGACACGUUUUUCGACCGGUCCCAGAUGAACGUAAGUGGUCGCCCGUAUCUCUUGCUCCUUUUAAGCUGUUACCGGAUAGAGAAUUACGUCGCAAACCAAAGGGUCGACCUUGCUCGACUAGAAUACGUAACAAUAUGGAUAUCCGAGAAAUAGCUAGUCAACAGAAGUUGUGCAGAUGGUGUAGGAAUCCAGGCCAUACAAGUUGAUCAUGCCCUAAUCGCAAUAGUUGAAUGUACUUGUAAAAAAAUUAUAGUUGUAAAAUUAUUAAUUGAUAAAUUGUAUUAAUGGUUAGUAAAAUUAUCAAAUUAUAUCAAAUUAUUAAUUGUUAGUACCAGUGAAACAAUUUUUCCAAAUCUAUCAUUAUGUGAAUGUAAAAUUAUUAACUGAUAAUUGUAUUAAUGGUUAGUAAACUUAUCAAAUUAUUUUAAAGUUAAGGGUUAGGGUUUUUAAGUUAAGGGUUUAAGGUUUUUAAGUUAAGUGUUUAGGGUUUUUAAGUUAAAGGUUAUGGUUUUUAAGUUAAGGGUUUAGGGUUUUAAGUUAAGGGUUAGGGUUUUUAAGUUAAGGGUUAGUGUUUUUANNNNNNNNNNNNNNNNNNNNNNNNNNNNNNNNNNNNNNNNNNNNNNNNNNNNNNNNNNNNNNNNNNNNNNNNNNNNNNNNNNNNNNNNNNNNNNNNNNNNCAGUAGGUCCUGAAAAAUAAUUUCGAGUUGACGUUUCUGAGCGAAUAGUAUAAAAAAGCUUCAAGUAGGAUGCUUUAUCAGAAGAAUUUAUGAAAUCGCGCCCUCGUGGACGCGCUUUUGCUACAGUAGCAUGUUUGGUGUGAGGCUAUAAAUGAGGCAAAAAAUGUUUUCAGAUUGCAUAAGUUACAGAGCAAAAAAAUUUAGAGAGGCUAAGAAGGUUAGAAAUUAAAUAUGAGUGAACGUAUUAGUGAUGUUAUUUACUAUGAUGGUGAGGUUUGCCACACCGAGAACGAUGUUAUUUUUUUUCAGAGAAUACGGUGCGAUUGGUUUUUAACCAGAACAUAGAUUUGACAGAACUUCGUAAAUAAUUAGGGGUAAAAUUUUCGGAACGACGCCAAUAAAAGUUCUAUCUAUUACGUAUCAAUUUUGUUCUUCUGUUGAUCCGGUGACAUAUGACUCGUUCGACAUAAAAGGUGCUCGUAGCUUGGAGGCAAUGGUGCAGACUCAUCUUGCUAGUGGAGCACCUUAUAUUGAGUUAUAUGUACAAUUUACAUUGCCAAAUGAUGUACUUGCGACCGGUGUUCGAGAUGUAUACACAACCCCUGGCCGACACUCGGUUAGCAGGUUACAAAACACGGAACAGCCUAUGUUUGGUAGCGGUGUGGAAUGCACAUCCCCUGCAACACACUCUGUCGGUGGAUGGGACAUGUACGUCGGUGGCUCGAUGUUUGAUGCUGGAAAUACGUACUGGGAACGGCAUCAAGUUCUAGUGGUUGGCAAUCUACAUCCAAUUGGGGACGUUAUGAAAUGCCCAGAAGAAGGGAUGAUGUACUCCCUACGACGUCCACCUGUGAGGGGACCUCUUACGCUGCAGAUGAUGGUGGGUUAGAAGAUGACUCCGAUGUGGAUCCACCUGGAGAGCCCAGGCCCGAUGGUGCAAAAGUUGGCUUACUUUCUGAACCGGAGUCUAUUCCAACAGAACCUGAAGAUGCUAAAAGAAGUUCAGAUGAAGAAGAAAAUCCACGAUUCAAAGCAUACUCACCUCCAGCCCACAUUUUUAUAAAAUUAUAAAAUUAUAAAUUUUUAAUAAAUUAGUUUAGGGUUUUUAAGUUAAGGGUUAGGGUUUUUAAGUUAAGGGUUUAGGGUUUUUAAGUUAAAGGUUAGGGUUAGAGUUAAGGGUUUAUGGUUUUUAAGUUAAGGGUAAGGGUUUUAAAUUUAAGGGUUUUUAAGUUAAGGGUUAGGAUUUUUAAUUUAAGGGUUUAUGGUUUUUAAGUUAAGGGUUAGGGUUUUAAAUUUAAGGGUUUAGGGUUUUAAGUUAAGAGUUUAGGGUUUUUAAGUUAAGGGUUUAAGGUUUUUAAGUUAAGGUUUAAGGUUAGGGUUUUUAAGUUAAGGGUUUAAGAUUUGUUAAUUAAAUUAUGCAUUUAAUUAUAAAUUAUAAAUUUAUAAAUUUAUAAUAAAUUAGUUUAGAGUUUUUAAGUAAUAACUCAAAAAAUUUCUAUUUUAUUACAUGAAAUAAUAUCAAAAUAUUCAAAAUAUUUGUACAAAUAAAUUUAAUUAAAAAAAUAAUGUCUGUGCCCGCCGGAUUCAGUGCCACAUGGCGAUCAUCGACGGUUACGCGCUGGAUUCCUCCUUCGUCCAGCUUUCGGUGGCAGUUGUGGUUUUUCCGUUGGGGAUUCUGGUUCUUCCGGUAGGGCAUACGGUUUUCGGAGUUGGGACGAUGAGCCACCUUGAUAGAAUUGUGAAUCUGAAGGAGUUUGCAUCACCAACAGCGACGGUGUUUGAAACCCAUACGGUGGUGAGGAUUGGUAAAAGGAAGAGCUCCCCAAUGGCCCCUCUUGCGAUCCCUCGUGCGUCGCUGGCCUAUACAUCGGCGGUCUACUCGGCGUAACAAGAAAUGGAGCUGAACCGGGCCAUUGGCUCCAACCUGCCAUAGGACUCGGAAAAGGAAACAUAUACGGUUUAGGAUACAUAAAAGAGCUAGGAAACGCACCUGGCAUCAUCUGAAAAGGCGGUUGCGUGGGUAUCAUCGGUUGAACUGCUAAAUCAGGUGACUGUGUUUGUGCUCUCGUUGGGCCUGGUGAUUCUACGGGCGCUGAUGAUGGGCUGGGUGAAUUUUUGGGCAUAGUUGAUGGGUCUGCGUCGGCGUCCCUUCUUGGAUUUAAAGAGCCACGUCGUUCCCUUUAGACACAUAAUUGCCGCUGCCUCUCCUCUGGUGAUAGUAAAUACGGCUUGUCAUGGAUCCUAAACCAUGGCAUGUAUUCCGGCACGCACGCUAACUCCGGAACGAUGAUCGGUUCCCUAGUAGGUAUAUAUGCAUAUCGGUCUUCCUACAUUCGGAUGUACUCGGACCAGAAUCUCGGGCAGUCUGUAUUCAAUUGCCGAAGGUCGAUUUUGUGGUGAUCGUCAAACACCUCAGGUUCCACAGGAAUCGGUUGUCUACAUCCAAAUUACCGUAAUACCCUGUCUGACUGUGCAUCUCCACGGUCGCGUAGUUGAUCAACGCGACUUUCACAUGCCAAGCGUUUGGAUUUUGCAAGAACUCAUGUGGAAUUACUGCCCGAAUUGCCGGAUCCUUGUAUGGUGUCCAUUGAAACUAUAUGAACAUGAUAGAAAUAUUAGUUAUAUACAUAAUACUAAAUACUAAAUACCAAUCGACUAGCGAAUGAUGAAAAUAUCAAUUUUAUUUAAUACUUACAUGUGCUUCCGACUGUUGGUCUAAUAGAAGCCGUAUAUCUUCAAGAGAGGUAGGUAAUCGAGCAUGACUUGUCGAAUGGUUCCACCUAAUUAAAUAAAUUUUUAGCAUACUUUUAUUUUUAAAAAUCUACAUAAUAAUUGUAAAAUCUAAUAUAAAAUUUACCUCGUUAUGAGUGGGAAUGUAUAUGGGUGGUCCAUUCGAGGACGUAGAAAUGGAAAGCGAAAUCGUGCCCAUGACUGCAGUAGUGACAAGCAACCUCCGAUUUUUGCUUUUGUCAAUCGCGUCUCCCCGCACAUCUCCCGAUAUAACGUUGCCAAGACGGCAGACCCCCAACUCAAUUCACCAGCUGCUCUAAAAUCAAUGAGUUUCAGCAUCCAUCUUAGAUGUACGCGGCUCCGUGACAAGUCGGGCAUCAGAUAACCUCCAAUUAACUGAAGAAUAUAUGCUCAACUUGUCAGUUAACUAAAGAAUGUAUGCCCGACAUGUCAGAUAACCUCCAUGACAAGUCGGGCAUCAGAUAACCUCAAAAUUCUAUAGAUUAGGCAUACAUUCUUCAGUUAAUUGGAGGUUAUCUGAUGCCCGACUUGUCACGAAACCGCGUACAUCUAAGAUGGCUGUUGAGACUCGUUGAUUUUAGAGUAGUUGGUAAAUUGAGUUGGGGGUCUGCCGUCUUAGCAACGUUAUAUUGGGAGAUAUGUGGGGCGACGCGACCGACAAAAGCAAAAAUUGGAGGUUGCUUGUCACUAUUGCAGUCAUGGGCACGAUUUCACUUUCCAUUUCUACGUCCUCGAGUGGACCACCCAUAUACAUUCCGACUCAUAAUGAGGUAAAUUUUAUAUUAGAUUUUACAAUUAUUAUGUAGAUUUUUAAAAAUAAAAGUAUGCUAAAAAUUUAUUUAAUUGGGUGGAACCAUCCGGCAAGUCGUGCUCGAUUACCUACCUCUCUUGAAGUUGUACGGCUUCUAUUAGACCAACAGUCGGAAGCACAUGUACGUAUUAAAUAAAAUUGAUAUUUUCACCAUUCGCUAGUCGAUUGGUAUUUAGUAUUUAGUAUUUAGUAUUUAGUAUUAUGUAUAUAACUAAUAUUUCUAUCAUGUUCAUAUAGUUUCAAUGGACACCAUACGAGGAUCCGAUAAUUCGGGCAGUAAUUCCGGAUGAGUUCUUACAAAAUCCAAACGCUUGGCACGUGAAAGUCGCGUUGAUCAACUACGUGACCGUGGAGAUGCACCAGUCAAAUAGGGUGUUACGAUAAUUUGGAUGUAGACAACCGAUUCCCGUAGAACCUGAGGUGUUUGACGAUCACCACAAAAUUGACCUUCGAUAAUUGAAUACGGACUGGCCGAGAUUCUGGUCCGAGUACAUCCGAAUGUGGGAAGACCGGUAUGCUUAUAUACCUACUAGAGAACUGAUCAUCGUUCCGGAGUUAGCGUGCGUGCCGGAAUACAUGCCAUGGUUUAGGAUCCAUGGCAAGCCCUAUUUACUAUUGCCAGAGAAGAGGCAGCAGCAAUUACGUGUCCAAAGGGAAUGACGUAUCCCUUUAAAUCGAAGAAGGGACGACGACGCAGGCCCAUAAACUAUCCCCAGAAAUUCACCUAGCCCAUUAUCAGCUCCCAUAGAAUCACCAGGCCCAAUGAAAGCACAGACACAGUCACCCGACCCAGCAGUUCAACCGAUGAUACCCACACAACCGCCUUUUCAGAUGAUACCAGGUGCGUUUCCUAAUCCUUUUAUGUAUCCUAACCCGUAUAUGUUUCCUUUUUCGAGUCCUAUGGCAGGUUGGAGUCAAUGGCCCAGUUCAGCUCCAUUUCCUGUUAUGCUGAGUGAUUCAUCGAUGUAUAGGCCAGCGACGCACGAGGGAUCGCAAGAGGGGCCGUCGGGGAGCUCUUCCUUUUACCAAUCCUCACCACCGUAUGGAUUUCAAACACCGUCGUCGUUGGCGAUGCAAACACCUCUAGAUUAACAAUUCUAUUAAUGUGGCUCGUCGUCCCAACUUCGACAAUCAUAUACCCUACCGGAAGAACAAGAAUCCCCGCCGGAGGAACCAUAACCGCCGCCGGAAGCUGGACGAAGGAGGAAUCCAGCGCGUAACCGUCGACGGCCGCCAUGUGACACUGAAUGCAGCAGGCACAAACAUUAUUUUUGUAAUUAAAUUUAUUUGUACAAAUAUUUUGAAUGUUUUGAUACUAUUUGAUGUAAUAAAAUAGAAAUUUUUUGAGUUAUUAAUUAAAAACCCUAAACUAAUUUUUUAUAAAUUUAUAAAUUUAUAAUUUAUAAUACAUGGCCUCCCUAUAUCUGGCCUGCAUAACUUGCUGCUCGCUUUGGAAAUGGCGCCGCCAAACGAAAAUAUGUCUCUCGCACAACCGAUGUUAUUGAUAGAUGGCGCGUUCUUUUAAGAACAGAAUUUAUGCAUUCAGCCAGGUUUGAUGUCUUAUGGCCAUAUCAUAGGCCGCCGUCGUAUGCUUGUUCCCACUAUUUGAAACGUAUGUUACAAAGGUAGUCCGCCCCUUCUCCGUUAAUGGAACGUAAAAUUGCCAACAUCUCGUGAAAAUGGUCUUUAUUUAUUUCAUACCCUGCCAAUAUCAGUUCAUAGCAAAUAUUACAUACCACUUCUACCAAUAAAACUAAUUCAAAUUGACAAACGAAAUAACACAGAUAUAGACUAAAUACCCACGUUGGUCACUUGUCGUCGUUCGCUCUUAGAUGGAUAUUGCCUGUAGUAGUUGGAAGCAACGUGUCUUAGGUAAUAUCGAUGGUGUGUGCGCUGCCAUAAGCAUCCCUGUCGAUCAAAUGCAACUAGUAUACCGGCGCCCCGAUCUAAAAUAACAGAGAUAUCAAGUUGGGGGUACACAUGCCUCCUUAACCUAGAGAGAAAGAAAUCCCAAUCAUCAGACGACUCCCCCGGUGUUAUUGCAAAUGCAAUUGGAAGAAUUCUCCCACCGCCAUCCUGUGCCACUGCAAGCAAUAGCCGAUGAGUAUACCUACCAAACAUAAAUGUACCGUCAAUUUGUACCAACGGCUUGCAGUAUGGAAAUGCGCCUCGGCAUUGCUUAAAGGUCCAAAACAGGCAUUUGAACACUUGGCAUCCACGUAGCAAUCGAUCAUUGUAGUAUGCAUGUUUCGUUUCAAGGUUUGUGAUGGCACCUGGGACGUAUCUCUCUAGCACUUGACACCACUGCCAUAUUUCAUUAUAUGAGGCGUCACACCCACUAUGCAUCUUCUCCAACGCCUUUUGCUUAGCUAUCCAAGCCUUGCGGUAAGAGGGCGUGUACCCCAUUUGCCUACGGAUAUUGGCAAUUAACACCGGCACUGAAUUCCUGUGAUCUACUUUUACCGUGGGUAGUAUCAAGCUAACUAACAUAGCUGAAUCCAUCUUGGGAUGAUGUUGUGAAACACCUAUAAACAGAGUACAUUAAAUAAUGCAACAUUACAUAAUAAAAGUAUUAUUCAGAUACCGUCAAUACUGUACCUGCAGCACAUAUAUGUGGACCUUUGUACUUUUUAAUCACCCACAACCCUGUCUUUUUCCUUAACGAGGCGUAGAUUUUCCAUGAACAUGUGCCGUCUUGCACCGCACACUUCGCCUCAAACUUAUCAGAUUUGGAUUUAACGACGUGGUAGUUAACGCCGUUUUUAUGCUAUAUUGUUUCAAAGCACCAAUAAUACUAUCCUUGUUGGUAAACUGAUUACCAACUUCAAAUUCACCCGAAUCUAGCCUUGAACUUGUACGAUCACGCAACCGGUGUGGUAGAUCUGGAAACACUAACGCAUCAUCUGCAGACAGAUCGACAUUAUGCAUGUGGGCUGGAGGUGAGUACGCUCUGAAUCGUGGAUUUUCUUCUUCAUUUGAACUCCUUUCAGCAUCUUCAGGUUCUGUUGGAAUAGGCUUCAGUUCAGAAAAUAAGCCAACUUCUGCACCAUCGGGCCAGGGCUCUCGAGGUGGAUCCACAUCAGAGUCAUCUUCUAACGCACAAUCAUCUGCAACGUACGAGGUCCCCUCACCAGUUGACGUCGUAGGGAGUACAUCAUCCCUUCUUCUAGGCAUUUCAUAACGUCCCCAAUUAGAUGUAGAUUGUCAACCACUAGAACUUGAUGUCGUUCUCCAGUACGUAUUUCCAGCAUCAAACAUCGAGCCACCGACGUACAUGUCCCAUCUAUUGACAGAGUGUCUUGCGGGGGAUGUGCAUUCAACACCGCUACCAAACAUGAGAUUUUCCGUGUUUUGUAACCCGCUAACCGAAUGUCGGCCAGGGGUCGUGUAUACAUCUCGAACACUGGUCGCAAGUACAUCAUUUGGCGAUGUAAAUUGUACAUAUAACUCAAUAUAAGGUGCUCCACUAGCAAGAUGAGUCUGCACCAUUGCCUCCAAGCUACGAACACCUUUUAUGUCGAACAAGUCAUAUGUCACCAGAUCAACAAAAGAAAAGAAUCGAUACAUAAUAGACAGAACUUUCAUUGGCGUCGUUCUAAAAAUUUUAUGCCUAAUUCUUUUACGAAGUUCUGUCAAAUCUAUGUUCUGGUUAAAAACCAGUCGCACCGUAUUCUCGGACAAAAAAACAACACCAUUCUCGGUUGUGGCAAACUUCAUCAUCAUAAUAAAUAACAGCACUAAUACGUUCACUCAUAUUUGAAACUCUAACCUUCUUAGCCUCUCUAAAUUGUUUCUGCUGUGACUUAUGCAUUCUGAGAACAUUUUCUGCCUCAUUUAUAGCCUCAACCCAAACAUGCUACUGUAGCAAAAUCGCGUCCACAAGGGCGCGAUUUCACAAAUUCUUAUAAAAUAGCAUCCUGCUAGAAGCGAUUUUAUACUUUUUGCUCAGAAACAUCAACUCAAAAUUAUUUCUUUCAGGACCUACUGUAGCAAAAGCGCGUCCACGAGGGCGCGAUUUCAUAAAUUCUUCUCAUAAAGCAUCCUACUUCAAGCGUUUUUCAUACUAUUUGCUUAGAAACGUCAACUCGAAAUUAUUUCUUCCAGGACCUAUUGUAGCAAAAGCGCAUCCACGAGGGCGCGAUUUCACAAAUUCUUACCAAAUAGCGAUUUUAUACUAUUUGCUCAGAAACGUCAACUCGAAAUUAUUUUUUCAGGACCUACUGUAGUAAAAGCGCGUACACGUGGGCGCGACUUAUUUGUUUACUUUUUCUCCAAAACCCUAAACCCUAAACCUUAAAAGCCUAACGUGAGAAAAAAGGCAAAUCGCGGCCACGUCAGCGUGCUUUGCUGAUGUGGCAACAAAUCGCGCCCUCGAGGACACAAUUUGUUGCCAUGUCAGCAAAGCGCGCUGAUGUUGCCGCAAUUUGCUGGCACAUCUCCUGACAUCGCGCUAACGUGGACGCGAUUUCGGGAAAAAGGGUCCAUUCCAGUAAAUAAUAAAAUAUCGGGCCCAUUUCUGUAAUUUAAAAAAAUGGCUUUUUUUGGUAAAUUGUCCGGUAUUUAGUACCUUGAAAAAAAAUGAAAAAAUAGAAUUAACAGAAACAAUAGAUAUAGAGAAGGAUCUAGAAAACCUUAAGCCAGCUAGUCAUAAACAUUUUAGCCCACAUAUUCUAUAUAAAAAGGGAAGAUUUUGGAAAUAAACCCAACUUGUACAAAAAAAAAAUUUGGCAAAAACCCCUAUAAAAUGCGAAGAUAAUGAUACAAUCAUAAUACCAUUAGUAAGAACAGAAUCUUGUAAAAUGCAUCAAGAAAAUAGAAUGAACUAUACUCAUUUAGGAUUAAAAGUGGUUGGAAUUAAAAGAAUGACGAGACUAGACUUAGGAGCCCAUGUAAUAAUGACCAUAUUUGAUGCCUAUGGAAACAAAUAUACCCAAUACACACCAUUAAUUGUUUUGAAAAUUUUCCAUGUCAAUUAAUUGUUUUGGAAUUCUUCCUAGAAAUUAUUUUAUCUCAUUUUCUACCAAGUUAUUGGAUUCUUUAGAUUUUGUUCCUAAAGAUUCUUUUUCUAUUAUUUCUUCCUGCCUUAUUCUGAAUAUUUCUAUAACGUUGUCCGAUCUUUUUCUUAAUACUGCUCAUUUUAUGUAUUAUGUUCUUUCUUGUCCUAUGAGGGUUAUAAAAUACUCUUAAUCUUUUUUCACAUUCUUCAUAAGCUUUAAAGAAAUCUUUAUGGUUAUAGAAUUUUGCGCAUCUUCUUAUCUUUUCUUCAUCUCGUUCAUCAUCUACCAAAUCUAUUUCUACUAGAUCGUUGUAUAUUUCAAAUCUAGGUAUUAUUGGCAUAGGACCUGGUAAUCCUGCAGUCUAAGCUACUCGAUCAAUAUUUCUUUUAACAUUUUCUAUACAAUUAUUUAUGGUUUGUAUUUGAGCGUUUGUAGUUAAUGAGAAGACUUCUAAUCUUAGCCUUAGAGCAAAUCUCCAAAUUGGGUUACCACAAGGAUUAUUACAUGGUUUAAUUGAGGGACUUGGACUUUAUCUUAUCUAGAAACAACGUUAUUGUUGACACCAUUUUUUUGAUAAAACGGGGUCGACUUGGAUUUUGGAAAUGAAAACGAAAAUGAGACUCGCCACUAAUUUUUUUUGAUAAUGUGUGAUCUGGUCACCUCGUAAAACGGUUGUUUUUAAUAAACGGUUUAGAUUUAUUAAAACAAUGCUUUUGGUCUGCGAAAUUCAGAAAAAUAGGUUCGGGAGUCGAUUACGCACGAGAAAGGAUUAGCACCCUCGUAACGCCCAAAAUUGGUACAUAGUUGAUUAAUUAGUGUCUUAGUAUCGAAAAUGUGCAAAGAUUUUAAAAUACGAUCCUUGUAUUAAAAAAACUUGUAUAAAUCAAAUUAGCCGUUAAGACCCUCUCAUUUCUGGGAGAGAAAAUGUCACACCCAAUGAGUUAGGGCAUGAUAUUUCACCUCUUCAAAAAUGAGAUUAUCCAAAAAAUCGUAUAGUAAAAUUUAAAAGGAUAUUCAAUUGUUUAAGUCAAAUAAAAAAUUGCGGCCCAAUACGUUAGUGCACAAUUUCUCAAAAUUCUAAACAUUGAAUGUUGCCUUUAUUUAUUUUUUAGAAAAGUCCUCGUCUCGAGAAAACAACGUGUCAUAUCCAAUGCGUUAGGACACAACUUAUUGAAUUCCCAAUAAUGAGCUUUUAUUUAUGUUUUUUUAUUAAAGAGCAUUCUCAAUUAUUUAGAUUCAACGAAAAAAUUGGAACCCAAUACGUUAGGGCUCAAUCCUCUCAAAGAUCUCAAAUACUGAGUAUUGCUUUUAUUUUCAAAAUUUUCCUUUUUACGAAUCUGGCUAAAAAUGGAUGUAAUGAAAUAACAAUGAUGAUAAUGUAAGAAAAAUAAUACGAGCAAAAACAAAAAGAUAAAUAAAAGAAGACAAAUAUAUACAUAAGUAUAAUCAAUCACAUAUACACGAUAACAAGUAAUAAACAAAUAAAAAAACUAAAGCAUAAAAAUAAUAAUUUUGGAAAUGUAAAUAAAUAAAUAAACGAAGAAAAUGAACAAAAUUAUAAAAAUAUAAAAGAUAUAUAUGUGAGUACACAUCAAAGUUUGAAAAUAAUAAUAAAAAAUAUAUAAACAAGUAAAUGAUGAUAAUUUAUAUAUAUAUUUAAAAAUAUGUCAAAAGUAUGUAGGUAUAUUUAUAUUUAUAAAAAUAAAAAAAACGUGUAUAGGUAUAUAUAUAUAGGUGCAUAUAUACAUUGUAAAAUAUAUUGAAAAUAUAUGUAUAUAUGAAUUAUAAAUAUUGAAAAUAUAUAGAUUUUAAAAUAUAUAGAAUAUGUAUAUAUAUGUAUGUAGAUAUUUUUGAAAUUAUGAAAUAUAAAAAAUAUACAUAAGUACAUACAUACAUAUAUAUAUAUAUAUAAUAUGUAUGGAUAUACGUAUAUAUUUUUUGAAAUUAUGAAAUAGAAGUGUGUAUAAAUAUGUAUAUGUACAUAUGGAUAUAAGUGUAUGUAUGUAUGAAAAAUGAAAUAUAAAAAUAUAUUUAUAAUAACUUUAAAAAUGUACAUAUAUUUAUAUUAGCGAAAUAUAUGUGUAUAUAUUGUAGAAAUAUAUAUAUAAUGUAUAUAACAAAAUUAAGAUUAAAAAGGUAGAAAUGAGUAAAUAAUAACAAUAAAAAUUAAUAAUAAUAAUAAUAAUAGUAUUAGAUUAAUUAAUUUAAAAAAAACAACCAAAAUAACAAAGAAAAGGACUAAAGCGAAUAAAAAAUUAAAAUUUGGGGUUGAAUCACAAAUAAAAUCAAAGGGGAGUGACUACGCUGAACGCGCAAAUAACAUAGAGGGACUGAAAGGGCAAUUUUCCCUUCUCUUCCAAAACGGCGUCGUUCAAAUAGGACUAAAUUGAAAUCCAGAAUAAACUCAAGGGGGAAUUUUAAAAAUAUAAAAAAAACUGAACGAGAAAACAUUAAAAAGUGGAGGGGCUAGAAGUGCAAUUUGCCCCUCCGUAAGAACACACGCAGAUUCUGUAGCGGGUCAGGUCGGUUCUAGUCGGCUAACCUUAAACGGCGUCGUUUUGGGUGUUCUAGGGCUAGGCCAAAACGACGUCGUUUUGUACCCCUAUAAAUUUCAAAAAUUUUCAACAAAAUUUCAUUUUCCCUUUUUUCAUAAAAAAAACUUCAAACAUUCUCUCAACUCCCCCUUUUUCCCCAGAAACCGGCCAAGUUUCGGCUAAGGAAUCGGUCAUCGGCCACCGCACAGGCCACCGUCAGCCGCCGCGCCGGCCGCCGUAUACGGUGGUCGAAAAGUUCAAAGGUCAGAUUUUUUUUGUAUAUAUAUUUGUAUACUCUUUUCUUAAAAUAAAACAAAUGUUAUUUUAUAUAAAUAUUUCGAAAGAUGAAAUUAAAGGAAAACUCAAAAAAAAUAAAAGUAAAUAAAUGGAAAAAGAAAGAGAACUCAAGAGCAAAACAAAAAAAUCACCCCUGAAGAAAGUUUUGUUUCUUUUUAUUUUUGUUGAAUCUGUUUUUCUCUAAAAAAAGGGGUCAAACCCCAUUUACAAUUUCUGUUAUGGCUUUAUAGCCAUUCUUACAACAUUUUUUAAUUUAUUUUUUGGUACAAUGAUUUCUCUGCAGGCAAGUGGCAGAGCAGGUGCGGCAGUAACAGAGUUGGUGGCGAUAGCAGAGGACCGAGGGUCUGAAGACCCUAGAUGUGGCGCUUAGGGUUUCAGUUUCUGAAACCCUAGUCUAACUUGGAGUUGGGAUUGGGCCUCGAUUUGGGUUAGGCUAGUUGGGCCUCGUUUUGGGCUCUGGGUUUGGGUUUAAUCGGGUUUUGGGUUAGGUUUUGGGCCAGGGUGUAAUUUGGGGCAUUGGGCUAAGUCUUUUGGUUGGAUUUGAUUUGGGCUAGGGUUAGGUGGGUUUGUUGGGCCCAGGUAAAUUUGGGCUGUACAGUUAUUAUCUUGCACACCUGAGAGUCCCUUUUCACUUACUUGUCUUUCUACUAAUUCUCAUGUACUGUUAUACAGAACUAUCUCUUUGUUACUGUUAAAACUCAUCUAAUGCCCUACAAAUGUUUUAGCAAAAGUACUAAUUUUUUCUUCCAAA